rnacentral:rRNA from 1 species
GGAGCAUGUGGCUUAAUUUGACUCAACGCGGGAAAUCUUACCGGGUCCGGACACACUGAGGAUUGACAGGCAAUAUUAAUUUCGCUCCGGCGAUUUUAUGUUAAAUAUGCUAGUCCUUUCAUGAUUAUGUGAUAGGUGGUGCAUGGCCGUUCUUAGUUCGUGGAGUGAUCUGUCUGCUUAAUUGCGUUUCACUAAGGGCCUAUAAUUUAACGUGUGUUGCGGCACUUUGACCCCUCUUCGCGGAGCGUGCGUCUUAGCUUGUUUAGCUCACACAAUUAGGUCCUGAAAGCAACGAACGUGACCGCAACCUCUUGUUGCCUUUAUACCAAACACAGUCUGACCUUUUCUUUUCUGAGGGCUGCCGUGAAAAAAGGCUUUUUAAACUAGAGGGACCGCUGUUACUUUCUUAAACCAGAGGAAGGUUGCGGCAAUAACAGGUCUGU